rnacentral:rRNA from 1 species
AACGAACGCUGGCGGCAUGCCUAACACAUGCAAGUCGAACGAGACCUUCGGGUCUAGUGGCGCACGGGUGCGUAACGCGUGGGAACCUGCCCUUAGGUUCGGAAUAACUCCCCGAAAGGGGUGCUAAUACCGGAUAAUGUCUUCGGACCAAAGAUUUAUCGCCUUUGGAUGGGCCCGCGUUGGAUUAGCUAGUUGGUAGGGUAAAAGCCUACCAAGGCGACGAUCCAUAGCUGGUCUGAGAGGAUGAUCAGCCACACUGGGACUGAGACACGGCCCAGACCCGGCGGGGAGGGGGGAGGGGGAAAUAGUGAAAAGGGGGGGAAGGCGUGACCCAGCAAGGCGGGGGGAGAGAGGAAGGCCUGGGGGUUGAAAAGCUUUUUUACCGGGGAGGAAAAGGACAGGACGGGGAAAAAAAGCCCGGGCAAACCCGGGG